GGGAAGGUGCCGGAGAGGUCGAUCGGGGCCGCCUGCUAAGCGGUUGUACGGGCUUUACCCCGUACCGAGGGUUCGAAUCCCUCCCUUCCCG
rnacentral:tRNA from 1 species